rnacentral:rRNA from 1 species
UACGAAGGGGGCUAGCGUUGCUCGGAAUCACUGGGCGUAAAGGGCCAGUAGGCGGCCAACUAAGUCCGACGUGAAAUCCCCAGGCUCAACCUGGGAACUGCGUCGGAUACUGGAUGGCUUGAAUUCGGGAGAGGGAUGCAGAAUUCCAGGUGUAGCGGUGAAAUGCGUAGAUAUCUGGAGGAACACCGGUGGCGAAGGCGGCGUUCUGGACUGCAACUGACACUGAGGAACGAAAGCCAGGGGAGCAAACGGG